GAACUGGCAAGGUUAGUGACCAGAAUAGUUCAAGAAGGAAUAGAAUUUAUAGAUGUUUUGAGAGAUUGAAAGAUAUUGAUUAGAGGGAAAGAAAAUACAAUGACAGUUGAGGAGGAAGUGAAGGCUGUUGUGAAGAAAAAUGUAUUGGUUGGCAUUCAAAUGGACAGCCAUAGCAGAGAGCUGCUAAGCUGGGCUCUUGUGAAAGUAGCUGACCCUGGAGAUUGCGUGGUUGCAGUUCAUGUCUGUCGAUGUUCUGAUCAGGCUUCAAAAAACAAGAACUUGUAGGAUGGUUAUUUAGAAGCUUAUGAAGGCCUAUUAGUGUAAAGAAGGUUGGUCUCAAAGGUCAG